UGUCCUUAUUUGCCAGCACGUAAUGGUGGGAACUCUAAGGAGACUGCCGGUGACAAACCGGAGGAAGGUGGGACGACGUCAAGUCAUCAUGGCCCUUAUGACCAGGGCUACACACGUGCUACAAUGGGACGUACAGAGGGUUGCUAAGCCGCGAGGUGGAGCCAAUCCCAGAAAACGUUUCGUAGUCCGGAUCGAAGUCUGCAACUCGACUUCGUGAAGUCGGAAUCGCUAGUAAUCGCGAAUCAGCAUGUCGCGGUAAAUACGUUC
rnacentral:rRNA from 1 species